CGGACUUCUAGUUGCUGGUAGGUUGUGACCGUGUUCAGGAUACUGUAUCGCCAGUACUCCCCCCUCCUCUGCGUAUUAGAUACUUUGGGAUACGUCUUUUAGUACUAUGGUCUGUGUGUCGGACCCUGUACUAUCAGUAUUCCCCCCUCUUUGCGUGCUGGGAUGUGGAUUUUUGGUGAUGUCCCUGGAUGUAAGAUCCUCUCUCACCAGUAUUCCCCCCUCUCUACGCCUGCGAGGUUGUAUCUAUGCUUCCACGGAGGUUGUCACGCGCUUUUGCCAACUAUUGUCCGGUUUGUCCUAGCCGAAGCCUACUCCUUGCACACCUGUCCGG
rnacentral:lncRNA from 1 species